rnacentral:tRNA from 1 species
GGAGGGGUACCGAAGCGGUCAUAACGGGGCGGUCUCGAAAACCGCUGUUCGCGCAAGCGACACGUGGGUUCGAAUCCCACCCCCUCCG